CUACGGGGCGCAGCAGUGAGGAAUAUUGGACAAUGGAGGAAACUCUGAUCCAGCCAUGCCGCGUGAGUGAAGAAGGCCUUAGGGUUGUAAAGCUCUUUCAAUAGUGAAGAUAAUGACGGUAGCUAUAGAAGAAGCUCCGGCUAAAUUCGUGCCAGCAGCCGCGGUAAUACGAAUGGAGCAAGCGUUGUUCGGAAUCACUGGGCUUAAAGCGUGCGCAGGCGGAACAGAAAGUCAGAAGUGAAAGCCCCGGGCUCAACCCGGGAACUGCUUUUGAAACUCCUGUUCUAGAAUCCGAUAGAGGUAAGGAGAAUUCCUAGUGUAGAGGUGAAAUUCGCAGAUAUUAGGAGGAAUACCAGUGGCGUAGGCGCCUUACUGGGUCGGUAUUGACGCUCAUGUACGAAAGCGUGGGGAGCAAACAGGAUUAGAUACCCCAGUAGUC
rnacentral:rRNA from 1 species